rnacentral:rRNA from 1 species
UCGAGAAUCUUCGGCAAUGGGCGCAAGCCUGACCGAGCGACGCCGCGUGGAGGACGAAGGCCUUCGGGUUGUAAACUCCUGUCGAGGGGGAGGAAGCCGCGAGGUUGACCGAUCCCUGGAGGAAGCACGGGCUAAGUUCGUGCCAGCAGCCGCGGUAAGACGAACCGUGCGAACGUUAUUCGGAAUCACUGGGCUUAAAGCGCGUGUAGGCGGGCCGCCGCGUCGGCUGCUGAAAUCCCCCGGCUCAACCGGGGAAGGGGCACCGAUACGGGCGGCCUCGAGGGGGGUAGGGGGGUCUGGAACUUCCGGUGGAGCGGUGAAAUGCGUUGAGAUCGGAAGGAACGCCCGUGGCGAAAGCGAGGCCCUGGACCCUUACUGACGCUGAGACGCGAAAGCCAGGGGAGCGAACGG